rnacentral:rRNA from 1 species
GCCCAAGAGAUCGGGAUAACACCUGGAAACAGAUGCUAAUACCGGAUAACAACAGAUGAUGCCUAUCAACUGUUUAAAAGAUGGUUCUGCUAUCACUCUUGGAUGGACCUGCGAUGCAUUAGCUAGUUGGUAGGGUAACGGCCUACCAAGGCGAUGAUGCAUAGCCGAGUUGAGAGACUGAUCGGCCACAUUGGGGCUGAGACACGGCCCAAACUCCUACGGGAGGCAGCAGAG